CACAUGCAUUUCUUUUUUUCUCCCCCAAGUCACAGAUGGGCGCUGGAAGCAGAGCCAACCGGGGGCUCGCAGAGAGGCAGACAGCGGUGCUGGGUGUGACAAGGAGGCAUCAGUCUGCCUUUGUCCACCAGACGGCUGACCCUCCGUGGGAGCUGGAGGCAGCCGUGGGCUCUAUCUCCGCCCCAGGCACCGCCAACUGCGGCAGAGGGAAGAGCCACCUAAAAAUGAAGCCAGCACAGGAGAAGGCAGGGCUGAGAGAUGGGGAGAGAAAAGGAUGGCACUGGGCCAGAGUGAGAUUCCGUCCUCUAACUUCCUCAUUAUCCCUGCCAUUUGAUGACCUCUGGCUGCUUUCAUUAUUUAAACUUCCAUCUCCUCUGAAAACAACUAGAAAAGCCAGAUCAA